AUUGCUUCUCUGCCUUUUGGCUAAGAUCAAGUAUAGUGUCUGUUCUUAUCAAUUUAAUAUCUGAUACAUCCUCUAUGCAAUUUAAUGUAUAUUAAAUACAGUAGACACCAA
rnacentral:snRNA from 1 species